rnacentral:rRNA from 1 species
UACAGAGGUCCCAAGCGUUGUUCGGAUUCACUGGGCGUAAAGGGUGCGUAGGUGGUGAGGUAAGUCGGAUGUGAAAUCUCCCGGCUCAACCGGGAGGGUGCGCCGAAAACUGGGAGACUAGAGUGCGGGAUGGGAGAGUAGAAUUCCUGGUGUAGCGGUGAAAUGCGUAGAUAUCUGGAGGAACACCGGUGGCGAAGGCGGCAUCCUGGACCGGUAUUGACGCUGAUGCGCGAAAGCCAGGGGAGCAAACGGG